GACGAACGCUGGCGGCGUGCUUAACACAUGCAAGUCGAACGGAAAGGCCCUGCUUUUGUGGGGUGCUCGAGUGGCGAACGGGUGAGUAACACGUGUGUAACCUGCCCUUGACUUUGGGAUAACUUCAGGAAACUGGGGCUAAUACCGGAUAGGAGCUCCUGCUGCAUGGUGGGGGUUGGAAAGUUUCGGCGGUUGGGGAUGUACUCGCGGCUUAUCAGCUUGUUGGUGGGGUAGUGGCUUACCAAGGCUUUGAAGGGUAGCCGGCCUGAGAGGGUUACCGGCCACAUUGGGACUGAGAUACGGCCCAGACUCCAACGGGAGGCAACAGUGGAGAAUAUUGCACAAUGGGCGGGAGCCUGAUGCAACAACGCCGCGUGCGGGAUGACGGCCUUCGGGUUGUAAACCGCUUUCGCCUGUGACGAGGCGUGAGUGACGGUAAUGGGUAAAGAAGCACCGGCUAACUACGUG
rnacentral:rRNA from 1 species